CAUCGCUCCACCCAGCACUGCCUUGCAGCUACCUCUGUGGUAGUGGCAGUGCUUUAGUGGCAGUGCUCCUAAAUAACAAAUGUAGGACAAAACGAAUCUCUGCACAGGAAAGCUACAAGGUGCACCUGUCCAAGAUGGAAGAGAGCCAGGGCAAAGGCAGAGCUCACAGCCCCUGGCUUUCCAGGGACAUCAUAAGCUGAGGCUCUGGCUGUAGUUCUUCCAAGAAAAGUUUUCUACACUGCUGGCAGUUGCAGUUUUCUCAGAAGCCUUGUUCACUCUGUGUUUUCCUUAAACCUGCUACUGGAGUCAUGGGAUGAUGCAGCAGCCCCAGUUUGCAUACCAAAAUGCUUUUUUCUCCUGACCAUUUGUAGUUUUCCAGGAGAGAAAGAAACAUACAUGAAAGGGGGAACAAUAAGAUCUCAAAUCCUAAAGGAUGACUCCUGCUCUCCUUUCAAAAUGGACUCCAAGACCUAAUUUUCUGAGAGGUUUGUCUCUUAUUUUGAACACUGGGACCAACAGCACUGCGAGCAGGACAUAGUGUCACCAGCCCCUGGUAGCUCCCCUAAGGCAGUAGCCCCAACCCACAGAAGGGCCUCCCAUGACAGUGGAGACUUCCAGUAUGGCUCAUUGCUCCUGUAUUUUGCUUUCUGCAGAUACAUCCUGCCUUUGCUGGGCAGGGAUGGCCUGGUGCAACCCUGCCUGCUGAAUGCACAGGGAUUGGUGCUGUUGCCUGUUGCCAGAAUGGAGCCACUGCCCUCAUGUGGGAUCCACAGAGGCUGAGGAAGAGCAGCCUGGCUCCCAGCCCACUCCAAUCCACCUGCAGCCCCUCCAGAGAGACACAGCUGCUACCUUAGGACAAGCCACAACCUUACACUACAGCCACUGUAGGGCCAACCAGACCUUUUGGGAAUCCCCCUCUCUCCAACCCUUUAACUGUAUGCUCAUUUGAUAUGCUCCCAGGACUGAAGCCCCACACAUAGAAUUACCUGCAGGCACUUGGUGGGAUCCCAUGUCUGCCUUCCUUCUUACCUGUUACGUUCAGCUGCCCACCCAGGAACCAGGACACCCUGCCCUGGUGCAGAUCACAGUCCUGGACGGAGUGGAAGGGGGUGAUCCAGGGGUCACAAGAGAGGGGCAGAAAAAGGCUCUCCCUGCAAGCAGAACUAUUCUGAGUCAGGUACACUGAUGGGAUGAUCAACAGCAGACAUGAGAGGUUGGACACCAGUAUGGGGGACAGGAACUAUCUGCCAUCAGGUACACUCAUCCCACUCUAUACACUUGGUUUGUAUCAGAGCUGCCCCAAGAAAAUGGCACAUAAAUCACAGAUGCUGGAUGACUAGAAGUUAUUACAGCUCCAUAUCUCAAACACCUCAAUACUGAAUUCUUUUCUCACUGUAUAUACAUUAUUUACACCCCAUGGGCUAUCAUCUAACACGUCAAACGACCAGGGGACAAAGACGAACAGGGGUUGGAUGAGCAGGCUGAACAUUUGACAGAAGAAGAACUGUUGGGAAAGGGUGCUCACAGCUGAAAGCAGGACAGAAAGGGGCACCUGGAAGUCACUGUCCUACAGCUUUUGGAGGGAGAAUAGUGCCUUACUGGGAUAGAAGGGUGAUGGUACCUUGGAGUGGUUUUGACUGCGUGAGUUUGAAUGUGCUUAUAUGGCAUGUAUGUACACGUUACAGGGUGUAUCAGAGUGAUGUGCAUGGCUGUCAUUCCCUUUAACACUCAGAGUGUGAGCUGGACAAAUUUAAAUCAAUAAAUACAUUAGGUGGAUGUUGUUGUCUCACCUGCAAUAAUGUAUUCAGUAAAUAAUUUGACUAUCUGGCCUCUCUGCAAGAGUGCAGGGCUUUGGCAUUUGGGGCAGAAUCAGUCCCAAAUUGUCCAGCACUGCAGGAGUCAGCAACAUGGGCUGGGGUCACCUCAAGUUGCCAGGUGAGACCAGGGUGUUGUGCCUGUGGGCUAAACCUGCCUCUCCUUGCCAAAUAGGGGUAAAACAUAACCGCCCUAAAGUUGCAGCCCCUUCCCCGCAGACUCCAGUGCUGGGCAGGGAGAGAUGGGCAGAAGGUGCAAACUACCCUGCAUGGAUAGUCAUCAUUUCA